UGGGGAAUAUUGCACAAUGGGCGCAAGCCUGAUGCAGCCAUGCCGCGUGUAUGAAGAAGGCCUUCGGGUUGUAAAGUACUUUCAGCGGGGAGGAAGGGAGUAAAGUUAAUACCUUUGCUCAUUGACGUUACCCGCAGAAGAAGCACCGGCUAACUCCGUGCCAGCAGCCGCGGUAAUACGGAGGGUGCAAGCGUUAAUCGGAAUUACUGGGCGUAAAGCGCACGCAGGCGGUUUGUUUAGUCAGAUGUGAAAUCCCCGGGCUCAACCUGGGAACUGCAUCUGAUACUGGCAAGCUUGAGUCUCGUAGAGGGGGGUAGAAUUCCAGGUGUAGCGGUGAAAUGCGUAGAGAUCUGGAGGAAUACCGGUGGCGAAGGCGGCCCCCUGGACGAAGACUGACGCUCAGGUGCGAAAGCGUGGGGAGCAAACA
rnacentral:rRNA from 1 species